rnacentral:rRNA from 1 species
CGUAAAUUACCCACUCCCGGCACGGGGAGGUAGUGACGAAAAAUAACAAUACGGGACUCUUAUGAGACCCCGUAAUUGGAAUGAGUACACUCUAAAUCCUUUAACGAGGAUCUAUUAGAGGGCAAGUCUGGUGCCAGCAGCUGCGGUAAUACCAGUUCUAAUAGCAUAUAUUAAAGUUGUUGCGGUUAAAAAGCUCGUAGUUGGAUCUCAGUUCCAGACAGGCGGUCCGCCUUACGGUGGCUACUUCCUGGCCUGAACAACCAGUCGGUUUCCCUAGAUGAUCUUCACCGGUUGUCUUGGGUGACCGACACGUUUACUUUGAAAAAAUUAGAGUGCUCAAAGCAGGCGUAUUGCUUGAAUAAUGGUGCAUGGAAUAAUAGAAUAGGACCUCGGUUCUAUUUUGUUGGUUUUCGGAACACGAGGUAAUGAUUAAGAGGGACAGACGGGGGCAUUCGUAUUGCGACGCUAGAGGUGAAAUUCUUGGACCGUCGCAAGACGAACUACUGCGAAAGCAUUUGCCAAGAAUGUUUUCAUUAAUCAAGAACGAAAGUUAGAGGUUCGAAGGCGAUCAGAUACCGCCCUAGUUCUAACCAUAAACAAUGCCAACCAGCGAUCCGCCUGAGUUCCUCAAAUGACUCGGCGGGCAGCUUCCGGGAAACCAAAGUGUUUGGGUUCCGGGGGAAGUAUGGUUGCAAAGCUGAAACUUAAAGGAAUUGACGGAAGGGCACCACCAGGAGUGGAGCUUGCGGCUUAAUUUGACUCAACACGGGACAACUCACCCGCACCGGACACUGGAAGGAUUGACAGAUUAAGAGCUCUUUCUUGAUUCAGUGGGUGGUGGUGCAUGGCCGUUCUUAGUUGGUGAAGUGAUUUGUCUGGUUAAUUCCGAUAACGAGCGAGAUUCUAGCCUACUAAAUAGGCGUCCCGAUCAACUUUGUCGGGCGUUCUUCUUAGAGGGACAAGCGGCUUUUAGCCGCACGAAACAGAGCAAUAGCAGGUCUGGAAUGCCCUUCGAUGUUCGGGGCCGCACGCGUGCUACACUGAAGGAAUCAGCGUGUGUUUUCCCUGUCUGGUAAGACUGGGUAACCCGCUCAACCUCCUUCGUGAUAGGGAUAGGGGCUUGCAAUUGUUCCCCUUGAACGAGGAAUUCCCAGUAAGCACGAGUCAUAAGCUCGUGUUGAUUACGUCCCUGCCCUUUGUGCACACCGCCCGUCGCUAUUACCGAUUGAAUGAUUUAGUGAGGUCUUCGGACUGGCGCUCGGAGCGACCUUUGGCCGUGCCGACGUGCCGGAAAGAUGACCAAACUUGAUCAUUUAGAGGAAGUAAAAGUCGUAACAAGGUUUCCGUAGGU